rnacentral:lncRNA from 1 species
CAGCUGAAUAUGGCUGUUGUGUUGGUUGAAUGUUCCAGGCAGGUUCCAGAAUGUUCUUCAGCUGGUGAUCCUUGUAUGGGGAAUGGAAGCUGGUUUAGAAAGGCUGUGGCGAUGUUGGCAGGGAUGUUGGGUUUGGGGGGGCUGUGACUCUGACUCCUUGAGGACAACCAUCUGGUCCUUUCUGCACUCCACAGUCAGGUGGACAACCGUCUGGUUCUGUCUGCACUCCCCAGCCAGGUAGACAACAGUCUGGUUCUGUCUGCACUCCCCAGCCAGGUAAACAACCGUCUGGUUCUGUCUGCACUCC